GCUAAUUAUCUUUUUAAAUGAACAACAGCCUUGACACGGUUCUGUUUCCGGGAGUCUCUGAGGGCUCAGCUACCACGACGCUGGCUGCAGCCUAGCAUUUUGGAGGCGAAGGACUAAAACCUAUGCAAAAGCCUGUGAUGAAAGAAUGGCAUUUGGAACACCUGGAAGUGAUGAAUCUGCCUGUGAAAACCUGCAGGAUGGCAGGCGAGAUGGCCCAGCAGGCAAACCACACAAGCAAGGACAAGGGUUCGAGUCUUCAGCCCCCGUGUAAGUUCCGCGCAGGCAUGACAGCCUUGCUUGCUGUACUCCCAGCUCUCGGUAGGCAGAGACGGGAGAUUCCAGGGGCACGCUGGCUGGUGAGGCCAGCGGUAUGAGCCAGCUCUGGGACCAAGUGAGAGACCUGCCUCAGUGAAUGAGGAGGAGAGCGGUGCAGAGAAACUCCCACUGUGAGCAUCAGGCGUCCACGCGCACACACGUGCACGCCCGCUCUCACACACGCACACACACACACACACACACACACACACGCACGCACGCACGCAUGUCCCCGCACAUGUACAAAAACACAGCAAAACCCUCGAAGGAGAAUGCCAUUAGCAGCUAGCGGGUGAAGAUCAAGGACACAGCUGAACACCCUGCGGUGCGCAGGGUCAUGUAUGUCCCAAGAAAAAGAAUGUCAGGUCCAGUGUAACAGCACGGCUGAGACUAAGACACUUCGGCGUGCGUAAUGACCGCAUGAUGCCAUGGUGAUUAAGUUCGGAAAUGGCAAAGAAAAGAUCGUGGCAACCGGCACACCAGGCUGCCCACAUAACCCGUCUUGGAGAAUAGGAGCAGAGAUGAGGGCUGAGUUGGAAGGAGAGGAGGUGCCCAUGCUGUGAUAUUGUCUUCCUUCUCGGGCCCGAACCAAAGAAAACACGACCCGCCCACCAGUUUCCCAUUAUCCUCUGGCUUCUUCAUCCUGGACCCUUAGACACAGCUCAGCGAGGGAACCUCACUGAAAACUGACUUUGCCCAGAUCCAAGAUUAUAAGCGGAAGCUGGGGCAAACCCAACUUACAGGUCACGAAGGUUAAGGAAACGAUAACUUGGCCGGCGUGACCUCUGGCAAAUCUGUGCACAGCAGUGCUUGGACUCCUGUGGAUAAUCUAAAUUAACACACGUUAACCUCGGCGCCUUCCAACCUUCAUAUCAGGGGUGUGGUAUUUUUAUUGCACUCGAGGGAAUUCAGUUUUAGACAGAGCAGCAGGCCACGAAUGUGGCAAGUGAGUCACUGACUUCGGACAUAUGAGCACACUCCUUUUGCUAUUCAUUUCCUGCAGGUUAACUUACAUCCUUGCCAGGGAGAACACACGGCCCCCAUCAGGCCCUCCUUAUCCGCGGAUAUACAUCCCAGUGUGAAAGUGCCUGCUGUUCUUCUCCUACAUGUUCAUGCUCGUGAUAAAGCCUGACCUACAAGGUAAACACAGUAAGAGCAGUCACCAACAAUAAACAUGCUCAAUUAUAACACAGCCGUGACAAAGUCAACACGGCCCUGUGCUUGGGCUUUGAGACAAUUAAAGUAAAA